AAACCGGAGGCCUGAGCUCUGAGACCACCACCACCACCACCGUGGAUCCUCAUGAGGAGGAAGCACUGCAGGGCUCACUGUGAUCAUCCCACUUGUUUACAUCAGAGGGAGGUGAAUGGUUCGCAGAGUACCCAGCUCUCCUCUGUUGUAUUACAUGGCGUCUAUUUUGCUCUUUUUUGUUUUACAAACCCACCGGUGCAGAGCAUGUGGAGCGUGACCUUUUGUGAUGUCGUCAAAAGGGGUGCGGCUCAGCUCAGAAAGCUGUGGUUACCAUGGCAAAAGGCAAAGGAGCUGAGGAAAGUUUACAGUUUGAAACGGUGGGGAAAAAAAGUGGAAUCUCUGACUGUCAAUUUUCCCCACACCCACUCAUCCAGAAAAAAACUUCAGCGUGCACUUCCUUCUGUCCUCGGCAACACAGCGGCGACGUUUGAAGUCCACCAGAUGAGUGGUUGUAGAGAAAAAUAAGAUACAGAGACAGAGAUUAGAUCUAAAGCCUUAUCAGAGGUGCCGGCCUCUGCCAUGUAUUAAAUGAAUGCAGCCGUCUCCUUUUCUCCCUUUUCAUCUCCCCUUUGGUUUUUCAACUUUUUUCUCAACUAUCUUUUCUUCAUUACUUCUGUAAUAGCAUUUGGCAAAGUAAUAAACGGAUGUGGAAUGA